CUUCAUGCGCUUAAAUGACACGCUCCCAGCAGAUGCUGUCUCCAGAUCUUGUAUGUCUCGAUGGUAUAGCUCGGAUGUUCCACGGGAAGGCCCGCCUUUACCGCUGACAGCCUGACACUCAUGCACAUUAGCUGCACAAGCAUGGGAACGAAUCAUUCCGAUUGAUGAUCCGGUAGAUCAGUUCACUUUAAAGAUUUGUUUCUGAAAAAUCGUGCGUUCACUUAUUGCCCGACAUUGCACAACAGAUGUAUUACCGACAGUACUAAUUUAAAGCUAGACAGCUAGUAGAAAGCACUAGGUUGAGAUAUUCUAGACACCUAGCAUACUAGCAACCACAACAAUGGCAGAGAAAUAUCUACCAAAAUUACCAGUUCCGCCUUUAUCGACAACGGCAUAUACUGAUAAAAAAUGCAAGAAAAGAAAGACUGAUGAAGAAAAGAUGUCGACCAAAAAGAAAUUAAACCGAGCAAGAGACAAGACAAGAGUGAACAUCGGAUUGGCUUUUCAGCGAUGGCGAGAGCUGAGAAAUUUGAAAGGCUUCAAAAGUGACGGCGAGCUUGCUGUAUUUCUUCUGGACAGGUAUUGCGCGAUGAAGACACAGGAAAACCUGAGGCAGAAAAGAACACGAACAAGAAAAAAUGGCCAUGGAAGAGGGGCAAAAAGACCCGGUCCAUGUCUGCGGAGGAGCCAGCUGUUAUCGUCAGCUGCACAGAGCAUCCAGCCCUUCAACUGCAGAGACCAGCUUGCCCCGACAAGCAGCUGCGCAGGGCAGCCGGCUGUUCUGACUGACUGCGCAGAGCAGCCCGCCUCUGACAACUGACUGCAGAGACCAGCCGGCCCUGACUACUGACUGAGCAGAGCAGACGGCCCUGACAACAGACUGCACAGAGCAGCUGGACCUGACAACAAACUGCACAGAGCAGCUGGACCUGACAACCAACUGCGCAGAGCAGCUGGACCUGACAACAAACUGCACAGAGCAGCUGGACCUGACAACAAACUGCGCAGAGCAGCUGGACCUGACAACCAACUGCGCAGAGCAGCUGGACCUGACAACCAACUGCGCAGAGCAGCCGGCCCUGACAACCAACUGCGCAGAGCAGCCAGCCCUGACAACCAACUGCACAGAGCAGCUGGACCUGACAACCAACUGCGCAGAGCAGCCGGCCCUGACAACCAACUGCGCAGAGCAGCCGGCCCUGACAACCAACUGCGCAGAGCAGCUGGACCUGACAACCAACUGCGCAGAGCAGCCGGCCCUGACAACCAACUGCGCAGAGCAGCCGGCUGUUCCGACUGACUGCGCAGAGCAUCCAGCUCUUAUAAACAACUGUAAACAGCAGCCAGGGCAGACAGCUAACUGCACCUAGCAUCGGGCUCUUAGACCAAAAUGCACAAGUGGAGCAGGCCCUGAAAAAAAACUGCAUGCAGCGGACUGCUUUCACAAAUUGACUGCACACAGCAGGCAAUCCUAAUGCGCAGUGGAGCAGGCCUGGACAACCAGCUGCGCAGUGCUGCCAGCUCUGCCCAUAGAUUGCACAAACCCGACUGUCCUGACCUCAGCAGAAGCAGUGGCUCCUUCCGAUCACCUGCGCAGAACAUAAGCACGACUGCGCAGAGCACACUGCCAUGUCCAUAUACACGGCACGUACUCCAUCCCAUCCUUCUGUCUUCCCAUCAGUCUUGGGAGGUAAUGUUUUCUUCUCUAGCACUCAAAGCCUUCAUCAUACUGUCUGAUUUAUACUGUUCUGAGGAAAAAUGGAAAAUAAUAUAAAAUAAUUAGGCAUAUUUCCCUAGUUGUGGCAAUCUUACUACACUUUCUUAUGGCUGAGAUGAAGUUUGGUGAACUACGCAACAGUUUUAAAAAGUUCCUGGAAGAGCAUGUCAGUCAGGAUGACACCCAGAGUAACAGCCUGAAUUACACAGUACUUGGGUAAGAAGUUCCUUCAAGACUAAUUCAAGGCCUAAUUAAAAUUUCCUUAAAGCCAUGUAUAAUAUUGUCAGGUGUGUCUAAGAAAAGUUGUCAUAGGUUCAGCUUUUGCAUUCCUCAUCUUUCACUCUCUGUGUUCUUCAAAGAUUUUUAUUAACGUUAUUACAUACGUUUGGACUGGAGUCCAGUCUGGACUGCUUGACAUAAGCAUGACACCAUACUUCAUCUUCCUUCAUCUACAUUUUCCUGCCCCUUGUCUCUGAGACCCUUGAGUUCAGCCUCUGCUCAGAAAAAAAAAAUCUGCCACCAGGUCUGAAUGACCUGCGGUUACCUGACUUAUGUACAACUCGGUGGUAAGAAGUGUUUGUCUCACCACAGGUUACUAAAUCUGGAGAACACGUUACAUGAAUGCCACUCUCCAGAGUCUCAUUAGUUUACAAAAUUACAUCAAGGACAUCAGGAGAGAGGAGGGCAGCUAGAGGCCAAAUAUGACGACGCACUUCCUGAAGUGCCUGGUGGAUAUGCACUCAGUCCAGGACAGCUGCAGCAGUAAUAAAAAGACUGGUUUGCUGAAGACCCAGAAAAAGUCAGUCUCACAGAACAAUUGGGACUUCUGUGGGUAUAAACAACAGGAUGCUUAUGAGUUAGUACAUGAAGUUUUAUAAAUUCUGCUCGAUGCAAGGAAGUUUCAAAGGGUGCUGUCAAAAAGCUUUUCAGCAAAACAGGAAGAUUUGUGAGCAGGCUGCGGGAUGAGGGUAAGCAAAACGGACUCCUAUAAUUCCCUGUGAGUGGGAAGUCUGGCACUCUACUUCAAGGAAAGCUUGCAGCUGGACCCACGUCACUGAGCAACAUCAAAGUUGUCGGUAUGUGAGGUAGAGUGUCAGUGCUACGUGUGCUUUGCUCAGUUUGCCUCUGUGGAGCAGAAACUACAAUCACUGCCUCUUUCAGCCUUUCAGUCUCUCAGUCAAUAUCCAUCUUUCAGUAUAUGAAGCCUGGACCCUGAGACUGGCAGCACAUACCUGGCUAAGUAAAGGACUCUUCAGUGUCCAGAGUGCAGGUUAUGCAGCUCAAUCCAGGCUGAAGUUGGAGAAGCUGCAGGACCCACUACAAAUCUCCCCACUGCUCAGCCUGCAGACCCACAGCAAGGCCAACACAUGCAGGCCAGGGAUUCACAGAACAGCCGGGUGAUUCUCCCUCUCCCUCGGGCAGUUAUGAAUACAGGCUCACCAGUGUGCUGUCUCAUAUUGGGUCCAGCAUGCGUCAUGGUAAGGCACCCAGGUCAUUGUAUCAGUGAAUGCGCUGACCAGGAUGGAAACUGGCUGUCAUUUGAUGAUGAAACGGUGAAGAAAACUGACCUGGAGUCAGUGCUCAGCCAGCUGUGCAUACCUGCUCUUCUAUGAGUACAGGCAAGAGCUGGUCCAUGCCAAUAGCCCUGCUGUUCUGAGUAUAGUACAUGUAGGACCACUACUGUUCUGUGAAUACAGCACAGGGGUGCUGGUAAAUGGAUCUGGAGAGAGCAGUGAAGGAGAGACACCACGGGCCAGUCUCUCAACGCCAAAACACCAGAGGGCCAGCCUCUCCCAGCCCAGAAACACCAGGACCAGCCUCUCAACCCAGAAAGAAUCAGGGCCAGCCUCUCAACCCAGAAUCACCAAGUCCAGCUUCUUUCAACCCAACGCAGAAACUCCUGGGCCAGCCUAUUUCAACCCCACUCAGAAACACCAGGGCCAGCUUCUUUCAACUGAACCCAGAAACACCAGAGCCAGCCUUUCUCAACUCGACCCACCAAUUUUUCCCUUGAGCAUGGGGGUUGCAACAACAUUAAUCAUUAAAUUUUAAAAAUGUUGUCAUAAUAUUUUAAAUCGUAAAAUUUGAAUGUACAUAGAUCAAUUAAAUUUUUGUUGAAGCGAUUAUUCUGUUUCGGGGGAGAACCAUGGAUUGUCUUCACUCUCCCGAGCCAGCAGCAGGAGCCGUGCAUGAGUAUGCUUGUACAUAGUUCACGAAUUGGGCAUUCCAAAUUCAGAAGGGGCUGGAGAUGCCAAAAAUAAAUAAAUAAAAGAAAUUUUAAUUUU